AGCUUUGUGCAGUGGCAGUAUUGUAGCCAAUGAGGUUUAUCUGAGGUGCAAUUAUUACAAUUGAAAACUUUUCCCAAUACCCCGCCAUGAUGACUUGCAAUAUAGUCGGCAUUGGCAAUUUUGAUGGUCCCUACAGGGA
rnacentral:snRNA from 1 species